rnacentral:tRNA from 1 species
GCGGACGUAGCCGAAUUGGUAUAGGCGCCGGCCUUAGGAGCCGGUGGGGAAACCCGUGAGAGUUCGAGUCUCUCCGUCCGCACCA